CCACACCUGUCAGUGAGGUGGGCGGACCCUUCCUGUCUUCGUGCUCAUUGGUUACAGGCUGUCAUGUGACUGCCCUCCUCGCCUGUUUCCCGUCUCUGUACCUGCUCAUCAUUAAAGCUGCUGUGCAGGUGUGAGUUUUCAGAGCGUCCACCUGAAGCUGCCCUCAGAGAGGAGGGAGGUUCAGCCUCCCUCCUCUCUGAGGGACAGUGAAGAGCUUUGAAGUGGGAGGAGUCGGAACAGGAUUUACUGUUUACUGAGAAUCCUCUCAGAGCUCCAGAUGUACCCAAAGCAUCUGCAAACGCCCGCGGCAGAUGGAGCAGGAGGCCACUGAGGAGCGUACGGCUGAGCUGUGGAGUCCAUCUGUGUCCAUCAGCCACUGUGGGACACAAAUCCAUGGCAACCAGCUUUAACGGGCUGACAUCAUGACUCAGGCGGCACCUGAAAUCUGUAUAUGACAGUUUAGGUGUUGAGUCGUGUGACUGAUGCUCGUCGUGUUCGUGGUCCUGUAAAACCAUCAGACAACAAAGAACGACGUUCAGCUGCUCGUGAGGAUUUCAUCAUCCUUUAAACACAACCUCACAGAUUUGACCGUUUUAUUAUAAAGACAACAAAAAGAGACUUUUCUGUCUUUACAUUAAAUAACUGAAUUUUUCAGUGUAAUAUUUAUCUUUUUCUUCCUGACUUUGCUGUAAAGCUGAUGGAAAUAGGCAGUGGUUGGACCCUCUGGGUGGACGCUUCUGGCCCACAGGCCUUAUGUUUGCCACCCCUGCUCUAAAGCUUAUGAAGCUAGAUUAGCUGCAUCAUGAAGGUUCGCUGUGACAGCUGGUGUUUGUUUGUGCGGCGUCUCACUGGGACACAAACACUCGGCUCAGGUUUAAAACGGUUUUUAUUAAAGCAACAACAAAAAGAAGCGAGGUCGGCGUGAGAGCGUCGUCAGCAGAGACCGGCACGGUCAUCAGGGCUGCUCAGGUCCUCGAGCGGGGAAUUGGUGAGCAGCCUUUCAUCCUCUCUGCUGACGCUCUGAGA